GCCAGGCGUGGUUGUGCACUCCUGUAAUCCCAGUGUCUUAGGAGGCUGAGGCAGGAGGAUCACAGUACAAAGACAGCCUCAGCAAUUUAGUGAGGUCCUAAGCAACUUAGCGAGACCAUGUCUCAA
rnacentral:sRNA from 1 species